rnacentral:lncRNA from 1 species
AAGCCCAAUAUUUCUCAAAAAACCCUAAUCCUAAACCUUAGAGACUCUCAGCCGCAUCUCCUCUCCAAAAACCAUCGCCGCCCGCCUCCAAAGUCGCCGGAACUCGCCCAACCCGGUGAGUUCACCCACUGGUCUCCUCAUGGCCCCCCUUCUCUCUUCUACUUCUUCCACAUAGCAAAACUCCAACAAAUCUCUUCAUUACCACACAUUUUUUUCUUUUAUCUUUCUUCGUCUAAACAAAAUUCCGGACCCUUGAAUAAAUCUGGGAAGAAUGGAAAUCGUUGGAUGGAAUUUUUGUCCAAAAAUCUCUAUUUUUUCGAUUUUUAUUUGUAAAAGGGGAUUUUCGGAUUUGAUCUUGUGGUGCCAUAUGAUUUCUUGCUGAAGAAGGAGAAGCUUCGAGAGAAGGCUAUAUAUUUGGAGGAUUUCGGACAGAGAGGGGAGAAGAAGAAAGGUUUGGGAGACGCUAGUGUUUUUCUGAGUUUUUUCCUUCCAAUUUUCAGUCAUUUGGGUAAAAUUUUAGAGUUCUCUUUGAGUCUUUCUUUCAUCUUCGAAACAGAAAAUACAAGAAAAGUAUAUUAGCUUCUGAUUUGUUUAACAAGCAUGGAGUUUAGCUGAUGUCUGUUGACUGCUCGUGAGGUUCUUGAUCGUGGUUCCAAAUCCAUUUUUGUUGUUUUUUUGUCCUUCUACUGGUUCGCGAUAUUGCUGUUAUUUUGCUUGAAUUUGGAGUAAAAGCUUUGUAUACGCCAAAUCUUCUGUUCUAUCGAAAGCUUAAGCUUCAACAGGUUCAAUGUGAUUUUAGUUAGGUUGGGUCUUCCUCCGUUACUUGUGUUCUAUUUUAUUUUCAUGCUUCAAUGUCUAUGUAUUCCAGUCUGUUCUGUUUGGACAUGUUGGAUGGCUAUAUGAUUUACUUCCAUUAUCAGUGAAUUAGUAUCGAAUUGCGUCGAGUUUCACAUGAAUAUGCAGUAUCUCCCAUUAGUUUUCUUUCUUGAAUCCCAACUGAUUCUUCGAUUGUACAUGUACUAAUUCACUUGUCGAUGAAGACCUAUACUUGUGUUCUGUUUUAUUUUCAUGCUUCAAUGUCUAUGUAUUCCAGUCUGUUCUGUUUGGACAUGUUGGAUGGCUAUAUGAUUUACUUCCAUUAUCAGUGAAUUAGUAUCGAAUUGCGUCGAGUUUCACAUGAAUAUGCAGUAUCUCCCAUUAGUUUUCUUUCUUGAAUCCCAACUGAUUCUUCGAUUGUACAUGUACUAAUUCACUUGUCGAUGAAGACCUAUACUUGUGUUCUGUUUUAUUUUCAUGCUUCAAUGUCUAUGUAUUCCAGUCUGUUCUGUUUGGACAUGUUGGAUGGCUAUAUGAUUUACUUUCAUUAUCAGUGAAUUAGUAUCGAAUUGCUUCGAGUUUCACAUGAAUAUGCAGUAUGUCCCAUUAGUUUUCUUUCUUGAAUCCCAACUGAUUCUUCGUUUGU